ACGUAGGGGGCAAGCGUUAUCCGGAUUUACUGGGUGUAAAGGGAGCGUAGACGGCAUGGCAAGUCUGAAGUGAAAACCCGAGGCUCAACCACGGGAUUGCUUUGGAAACUGUCAAGCUUGAGUGCCGGAGAGGUAAGCGGAAUUCCUAGUGUAGCGGUGAAAUGCGUAGAUAUUAGGAGGAACACCAGUGGCGAAGGCGGCUUACUGGACGGUAACUGACGUUGAGGCUCGAAAGCGUGGGGAGCAAACAG
rnacentral:rRNA from 1 species